rnacentral:rRNA from 1 species
GACGAACGCUGGCGGCGUGCUUAACACAUGCAAGUCGAACGGUAAGGCCCUUCGGGGUACACGAGUGGCGAACGGGUGAGUAACACGUGGGUGAUCUGCCCCGCACUUCGGGAUAAGCCUGGGAAACUGGGUCUAAUACCGGAUAGGACCACUGCCUGCAUGGGUGGUGGUGGAAAGCUUUUGCGGUGUGGGAUGGGCCCGCGGCCUAUCAGCUUGUUGGUGGGGUGAUGGCCGACCAAGGCGACGACGGGUAGCCGGCCUGAGAGGGUGACCGGCCACACUGGGACUGAGAUACGGCCCAGACUCCUACGGGAGGCAGCAGUGGGGAAUAUUGCACAAUGGGCGCAAGCCCGAUGCAGCGACGCCGCGUGAGGGAUGACGGCCUUCGGGUUGUAAACCUCUUUCAGCACCGACGAAGCGCAAGGGACGGUAGGUGCAGAAGAAGGACCGGCCAACUACGUGCCAGCCGCCGCUGUAA